GACGAACGCUGGCGGCGUGCCUAAUACAUGCAAGUCGAGCGGAACUAGAGGCCUUCGGGCCAAUAGUUUAGCGGCGAACGGGUGAGUAACACGUGGGCAACCUGCCCUCUAGACUGGGAUAACUUGGGGAAACCGAAGCUAAUACCGGAUAAUCUUCGAGAUCGCAUGAUUUUGGAGUAAAAGACUUAGGUUACUAGAGGAUGGGCCCGCGGUGCAUUAGCUAGUUGGUGGGGUAGAGGCCUACCAAGGCGACGAUGCAUAGCCGACCUGAGAGGGUGACCGGCCACACUGGGACUGAGACACGGCCCAGACUCCUACGGGAGGCAGCAGUAGGGAAUUUUCCGCAAUGGGCGCAAGCCUGACGGAGCAACGCCGCGUGAGAGAAGACGGUUUUAGGAUUGUAAAUCUCUGUUUUCGGGGAAGAAGAAAGUGACGGUACCCGAAUAGAAAGCCCCGGCUAACUACGUG
rnacentral:rRNA from 1 species